rnacentral:rRNA from 1 species
UACGGGGGGGGCAAGCGUCGUUCGGAAUUACUGGGCGUAAAGGGCGCGUAGGUGGCCAACUAAGUCAGACGUGAAAUCCCUCGGCUUAACCGGGGAACUGCGUCUGAUACUGGAUGGCUUGAGUUUGGGAGAGGGACGCGGAAUUCCAGGUGUAGCGGUGAAAUGCGUAGAUAUCUGGAGGAACACCGGUGGCGAAGGCGGCGGCCUGGACCAAUACUGACACUGAAACGCGAAAGCCAGGGGAGCAAACGGG